rnacentral:lncRNA from 1 species
AAACAGGGAAGUAAGCUGAAGGAGAAGUAUGAGAAGGAUAUUGCUGCCUACAGAGCUAAAGGAAAACCUGAUGCAGCGAAAAAGGGGGUGGUCAAGGCUGAAAAGAGCAAGAAAAAGAAGGAAGAGGAAGAUGAUGAGGAGGAUGAAGAGGAUGAGGAAGAGGAGGAAGAAGAGGAAGAUGAAGAUGAAGAAGAAGAUGAUGAUGAUGAAUAA